UACGUAGGGGGCUAGCGUUGUCCGGAAUCAUUGGGCGUAAAGCGCGUGUAGGCGGCCUUGUAAGUCCGUUCUGAAAGCCCGGGGCUCAACCCCGGGAGGCGGAUGGAUACUGCAAGGCUCGGGUACGGAAGAGGCGAGUGGAAUUCCCGGUGUAGCGGUGAAAUGCGCAGAUAUCAAGAGGAACACCGGUGGCGAAGGCGGUUCUCUGGGCAUUACCUGACGCUGAGGAGCGAAAGUGUGGGGAGCGAACAGG
rnacentral:rRNA from 1 species